rnacentral:lncRNA from 1 species
CAUGGCGGGUGGGUGAAAGACCCGAGCUAACAUGGGGUUAGUUCGUUAAAUUACAAUAAAGCCUCGUGCAGUUUGCAGCAAGCUCUCGAAUCCGCCUGGUGAUUGGGGUGACCGCGAACCUGGCCUGAGACCCCGGAUACUUGAGUUUUCGGGGGUCUAACAUUUUGGGGGCUCGUCCGGGAUUUGCGACCACCCUUCACCUGAGUGGAUUCGAUCUUGGAGGUAAGAUGAUUAGAGCUCGCAAUUUAUUGCCCAUGCACGUGGCAUGCAUGGGUCAGGGG